rnacentral:snRNA from 1 species
GGCUUUGCGCAGUGGCAGUAUCAUAGCCAAUGAGGUUUAUCCAAGGCGCGAUUAUUGCUAAUUGAAAACUUUUCCCAAUACCCAGCCAUGACUACCUGAAAUAUGGUCAGCAUUGGCAAUUUUUGACAGUCUCUAUGGAGA